AGCGACGCUUAUGCGUUGUUGGGUAGGGGAGCGUUCUGUAAGCCUGUGAAGGUGGCCUGUGAGGGUUGCUGGAGGUAUCAGAAGUGCGAAUGCUGACAUAAGUAACGAUAAAGCGGGUGAAAAGCCCGCUCGCCGGAAGACCAAGGGUUCCUGUCCAACGUUAAUCGGGGCAGGGUGAGUCGACCCCUAAGGCGAGGCCGAAAGGCGUAGUCGAUGGGAAACGGGUUAAUAUUCCCGUACUUGGUGUUACUGCGAAGGGGGGACGGAGAAGGCUAUGUUGGCCGGGCGACGGUUGUCCCGGUUUAAGCGUGUAGGUGUGUGUUCCAGGUAAAUCCGGUUCACUUUAACACUGAGGCGUGACGACGAGGCACUACGGUGCUGAAGCAACAAAUGCCCUGCUUCCAGGAAAAGCCUCUAAGCAUCAGGUAACAUCAAAUCGUACCCCAAACCGACACAGGUGGUCAGGUAGAGAAUACCAAGGCGCUUGAGAGAACUCGGGUGAAGGAACUAGGCAAAAUGGUGCCGUAACUUCGGGAGAAGGCACGCUGACACGUAGGUGAAGUGAUUUACUCAUGGAGCUGAAGUCAGUCGAAGAUACCAGCUGGCUGCAACUGUUUAUUAAAAACACAGCACUGUGCAAACACGAAAGUGGACGUAUACGGUGUGACGCCUGCCCGGUGCCGGAAGGUUAAUUGAUGGGGUCAGCGCAAGCGAAGCUCCUGAUCGAAGCCCCGGUAAACGGCGGCCGUAACUAUAACGGUCCUAAGGUAGCGAAAUUCCUUGUCGGGUAAGUUCCGACCUGCACGAAUGGCGUAAUGAUGGCCAGGCUGUCUCCACCCGAGACUCAGUGAAAUUGAACUCGCUGUGAAGAUGCAGUGUACCCGCGGCAAGACGGAAAGACCCCGUGAACCUUUACUAUAGCUUGACACUGAACAUUGAGCCUUGAUGUGUAGGAUAGGUGGGAGGCUUUGAAGUGUGGACGCCAGUCUGCAUGGAGCCGACCUUGAAAUACCACCCUUUAAUGUUUGAUGUUCUAACGUGGACCCGUUACCCGGGUUGCGGACAGUGUCUGGUGGGUAGUUUGACUGGGGCGGUCUCCUCCUAAAGAGUAACGGAGGAGCACGAAGGUUGGCUAAUCCUGGUCGGACAUCAGGAGGUUAGUGCAAUGGCAUAAGCCAGCUUGACUGCGAGCGUGACGGCGCGAGCAGGUGCGAAAGCAGGUCAUAGUGAUCCGGUGGUUCUGAAUGGAAGGGCCAUCGCUCAACGGAUAAAAGGUACUCCGGGGAUAACAGGCUGAUACCGCCCAAGAGUUCAUAUCGACGGCGGUGUUUGGCACCUCGAUGUCGGCUCAUCACAUCCUGGGGCUGAAGUAGGUCCCAAGGGUAUGGCUGUUCGCCAUUUAAAGUGGUACGCGAGCUGGGUUUAGAACGUCGUGAGACAGUUCGGUCCCUAUCUGCCGUGGGCGCUGGAGAACUGAGGGGGGCUGCUCCUAGUACGAGAGGACCGGAGUGGACGCAUCACUGGUGUUCGGGUUGUCAUGCCAAUGGCACUGCCCGGUAGCUAAAUGCGGAAGAGAUAAGUGCUGAAAGCAUCUAAGCACGAAACUUGCCCCGAGAUGAGUUCUCCCUGAGACUUAGAGUCUCCUGAAGGAACGUUGAAGACGACGACGUUGAUAGGCCGGGUGUGUAAGCGCAGCGAUGCGUUGAGCUAACCGGUACUAAUGAACCGUGAGGCUUAACCUU
rnacentral:rRNA from 1 species